ACGAGGAAGUGAAGUCAAGUCCGCCAUUUCAUCUUCUUCUUUAUGUCGGAAAAGAAAGGAAUCAUGCAAGGAUGCAAGCUGAAGGAAAGGACAACUCUCACAUCAGUGCAUUACUAAUUGUUUGACUUCAUCAUCAAGCACACCAGACGGUGCGGUGGUACAGUGGAUAGCUCUGUUGCCUCCCAGCAAAAAUGUUUCUGGUUCGAGCAUCGGCUGGGUCAGUUGGCAUUUCUGUGUGAAGUUUGUAUGUUCUCCCCGUGUUGGCGUGGGUUUCCUCCAGGUGCUCCGGUUUCCCCCACAAGACAUGCGGUACAGGUGAAUUGGCUCAGAUUGUGAUGGACCUGGAAUGCGACACCAGUUACUCUUAAGUCAAGAACCAAAUAAAGCACCAGAGUACAGAUUAUGGAGGUUCCUUGUAAAGAUGAACCCAGGGAAGGAUCGAAAGUGGAGAAGACCAGAUCAAAAAAGACCACAUCAAGAUCUGCAGUCAGUUCAAAGGUACUUUCACUAAUUACCAAGGUUUCAGACUAUGAAUUGAUGGAGUAAACUUUGAGUGUCAGAUCUUCCUAGCAAAAAUUCUUCCCAGUGUCUUGUAGUAGAAGUGAUGCAGUCAAUCAAGUUUACGUUAUUUCGUAAAUUGCUUUCCGAUUUAAUAAAAAUAUAAUAACCAAACUUGAUUAAUGUAACAAUUUUGAUGAAAAGGGCAUGUUUUACUAAAGCUUUUAGCACAAAGGCACCCCCAUCUUGUAAUAUUGCUGUGUCUGACGUCACGGGGUUGGUAUGAUGGAAACGUUUUUGAAUGAGGUAUUUGUAUGAUUUAUACAUAGUCUGUCUUAAAGCGUCACUAAAUUGUACAGGCAUUACAGGUCAAAGCAAUCGGUUAUUAAAUUUAUCAAAAUAAACAAUAAGGCUCUUAAAACACUGCUUCGAAAAAUGUAGAAAAUGUAAAAAAAUAUUUCAAAUACCUCAAAUGAAAUGAAGUCAUUUGUUUUAUUAUUUUUAAAAUAUAUUUUUUUGUAAAGUCAUUUGUUUAUAAUUAUGUAAAAAAAUCUAAGUACUAUAAAAGUUAUUUAAGCAACAAAUUUGCCAGAUUGUAAAGGCAGACACAGAAUGAGCAAACAAGAAAAACUGUGUAAAAUGUGUAAAUAAAAGGCUACAUUUUAAAUUUUUACAUCUUUUCAUCAUAUACAUAAAACCUUCCUAAGCUUGAAAA
ensembl:processed_transcript